GUAGGUNNCGAGCGUUGUCCGGAUUUACUGGGCGUAAAGAGCGCGCAGGCGGUCGUGCAAGUCGCGUGUGAAAGCCCCCGGCUCAACUGGGGAGGGUCACGCGAUACUGCUCGACUCGAAGGCAGGAGAGGGAAGUGGAAUUCCCGGUGUAGUGGUGAAAUGCGUAGAUAUCGGGAGGAACACCAGUGGCGAAGGCGACUUCCUGGCCUGUUCUUGACGCUGAGGCGCGAAAGCUAGGGUAGCAAACGGGAUUAGAUACCCCGGUAGUCCUAGCCGUAAACGAUGGACACUAGGUGUUGGUGGUAUCAACCCCGCCAGUGCCGAAGCUAACGCAUUAAGUGUCCCGCCUGGGGAGUACGGCCGCAAGGCUA
rnacentral:rRNA from 1 species